rnacentral:rRNA from 1 species
GAUGAACGCUGGCGGCGUGCCUAAUACAUGCAAGUCGAGCGAACAGACCAUGCUUUUGCUCCUCUCUCGUUUGCGGCGGGCGUGUGAGUCACACGUGUAUCCCCUACCUAUCUGACUGGUAUCACUACGAGACUCCGGCUCUUACCCCAUAUGAUAUACUGCACCACGUUGUUCAUUAGUAAGUGUCGGCUUUUCUGUCACGUCUAGCUGCAUCCCGGCCGCUUUAGCUAGUUGUUACGGUAACGGCUUACCACGGCGACGAUGCGUAGCCGACCUGAGAGGGUGAUAGGCCACACGGGAACGGAGACACGGUCCAGACUACUACGGGAGGCAGCAGUAGGGAAUCUGACGCAAUGGGCGAAAGCCUGACGGAGCAAGGCCGCGUGAGUGAUGAAGGUCUUCGGAUCGUAAAACUCGGUUAUUAGGGAAGAACAGAUGUGUAAGGAAACAAGGACGUCUUGACGGUAACGAAUCAGAAAGCAACGGCUAACUACGUG